UAUCGCCUUCGGGAAAACAUUUCUAUAAAUAGCCCUGAUUACUGGGUUUAUUUUAUUUAGCCACAGAUUAUAUGAAAAGGUUUUCUUGUUAUUUUGAUGCAGUCUGUGAUUAAAUAAGUGGAGGGAUAUUGAUUAAAGUGUCAGUCGAUAUUAUUACCAUAGAUUGUAAGUAUAGUCAUGUAGUUUUCAGAUUUUGGUUGCACUCAGCUAUAUUAGUGAUUGGUAAAUUGCAUUCUCGUUAUUUUUCGUUGGUAUUUCUUAGAAGAUUUUUCGGUAAAUUCAAUUGAAAUUAAUAUGUUCAAAUUAAUUACUCAUAAACUAUUUCUUUUUUAAUUAAAUGUAUAUUUUUCUAAAUGCCAAAAAAAUUACUAUUGGACGUUUAUGAUGUACAAAACUCUAACAUGUAUGAAGACGUGAUGUAUUUUUUCAGAUAAUGUGUCACUGCACAGUAGUAUAGAUCCGGGAAUUGUCUAUGAUUCAGGGAGUCACCUCUCCCCAUCAGUCUUGUAUAUGGCAUCAUCGCUCACUCCUCUUUCUCCAAGUUAUCAUAGAUCUCCUUAAAUCGAAGAAGAUCUAAUACUAGACCUGACGAUGGCAUUUAGAGAGGCAAAUUAUAUUUUUUAAACCAAAUUCAAAUAUUUAGUUAACUCACUGUAUAUAUAAAUUCACAACAAAUGUAUUUAUA